UGGAAGGUGGUGUAGUGAAGCACCCAGAGUUUUGGCUUCUGGUGUAGGGGUUCGAGUCCCCUCUUUCCAC
rnacentral:tRNA from 1 species